AUUAAGGUGGCAGAUCAGUGCAUAGGAUUUAAGCUCCUGUUAGGGAAUAAUUUUUAUUCUUCUUAAUA
rnacentral:tRNA from 1 species